GAUGAGCGCUGGCGGCGUGCCUAAUACAUGCAAGUCGAGCGAACGGACGAGAAGCUUGCUUCUCUGAUGUUAGCGGCGGACGGGUGAGUAACACGUGGAUAACCUACCUAUAAGACUGGGAUAACUUCGGGAAACCGGAGCUAAUACCGGAUGAUAUUUUGAACCGCAUGGUUCAAAAGUGAAAGACGGUCUUGCUGUCACUUAUAGAUGGAUCCGCGCUGCAUUAGCUAGUUGGUAAGGUAACGGCUUACCAAGGCAACGAUGCAUAGCCGACCUGAGAGGGUGAUCGGCCACACUGGAACUGAGACACGGUCCAGACUCCUACGGGAGGCAGCAGUAGGGAAUCUUCCGCAAUGGGCGAAAGCCUGACGGAGCAACGCCGCGUGAGUGAUGAAGGUCUUCGGAUCGUAAAACUCUGUUAUUAGGGAAGAACAUAUGUGUAAGUAACUGUGCACAUCUUGACGGUACCUAAUCAGAAAGCCACGGCUAACUACGU
rnacentral:rRNA from 1 species